GAUGAACGCUGGCGGCGUGCCUAAUACAUGCAAGUCGAGCGAAUGGAUUAAGAGCUUGCUCUUAUGAAGUUAGCGGCGGACGGGUGAGUAACACGUGGGUAACCUGCCCAUAAGACUGGGAUAACUCCGGGAAACCGGGGCUAAUACCGGAUAACAUUUUGAACCGCAUGGCUCGAAAUUGAAAGGCGGCUUCGGCUGUCACUUAUGGAUGGACCCGCGUCGCAUUAGCUAGUUGGUGAGGUAACGGCUCACCAAGGCAACGAUGCGUAGCCGACCUGAGAGGGUGAUCGGCCAAACUGGGACUGAGACACGGCCCAGACUCCUACGGGAGGCAGCAGUAGGGAAUCUUCCGAAAUGGACGAAAGUCUAACGGAGCAACGCCGCGUGAGUGAUGAAGGCUUUCGGGUCGUAAAACUCUGUUGUUAGGGAAGAACAAGUGCUAGUUGAAUAAGCUGGCACCUUGACGGUACCUAACCAGAAAGCCACGGCUAACUACGUGCCAGCAGCCGCCGUAA
rnacentral:rRNA from 1 species